UUCAGCAACUAAUUGAUCAAAUUAUUUUCUAUUUUUUUUUAAAGGAGGACUAAUUCUGGUUGUCCUAUUUAAAUAACUACAGUGCCAUUAAGAGCAAAAAGAAAAUCAGUAAAAACAUUUGCUCCUGAACUCUGAGUGACUUAAAUAAAGAUGACAUAUGAAUAAAGAAGGGGGAAAAAGGAUUCUUUAAAUAUCUAACAAGGCACAUAGAGCAUAGAGAGUUUUACAUAUGCUUUUACAACUUUGGACAUAGUUUAAAUGAUACAUUGGCCGCGAGGAAGCCAGACCAUCCAAACUUUGCUAAUAUCAGAAACAAAAGCACCAACAGAAAGAAGAAAUGACAAAAGAUCAGUGAAGGUACUGAGUCAGACACAGCAAUCUCCGGCAACAGAAAAAGUGAAAAAGGAAACAUUUAAAGUAAGACAACUGUGUGAUGCUGGGACUCACAGUGCAGUGCCUUCUGUUGUAGCAAGUGUCUAUAUUGCUAUGAACAACCCAGACAAUGCCAGAAUGUUGUAGCAGUAAGGACCACAGACCCACAUUUCAGCUUAAGACCAUCAUUUACUGAAAUCUGCUUAUAGGAAAAUGUGAUUAGCUGGAAGGUGAGUAGUUUGAUUGGUCUUCCCUCUUAGUAGUUCGAAGUUACAAAUAAGUUACAAAUGCUAUUUUAUAGUUACAAGGAAUACUUGUAUUUGAAUAGUGGUAACUCAUUUUUAAUUGAUCUGCCAUCCAUGUUGUCCUUCUAAGAAUUCUCUUUUUAGUCAGUGGUCUCGUCUGAUGGAACAAUAUCAUACCCAGAGAUUUCUUGUAACACAAAAGAACCCUGAGCUUCUUAGGUAGGAGGGGUAAAAGGAAAACAGAUGAAGAGAGCCAAAUAGCCCCAUUUGGUUGAUGUAGAUAUAGAUGGGUCUUUCAAUCCAUUUUUGAAACUGGCUGAUAGGGCUACCAC
rnacentral:lncRNA from 1 species